rnacentral:rRNA from 1 species
UCGAGAAUCUUCCGCAAUGGACGAAAGUCUGACGGAGCGACGCCGCGUGGUUGAUGAAGUACUUCGGUAUGUAAAAACCUUUUAUGGGGGAGGAAGUAAUUGACGUUACCCCAUGAAUAAGAGGUUGCUAAACUCGUGCCAGCAGCAGCGGUAAUACGAGUGCCUCAAGCGUUAUCCGGAAUUAUUGGGCGUAAAGGGUGUGUAGGUGGUCUUAUUAGUCUCACGUUAAAUGCCUAGGCUUAACCUAGGAACUGCGAGGGAAACGGUAAGACUCGAGGAUGAGAGAGGUCUGUGGAAUUCUAGGUGUAGCGGUGAAAUGCGUUGAUAUCUAGGAGAACACCAAAUGCGAAGGCAACAGACUGGAGCAUUCCUGACACUGAAACACGAAAGCGUGGGUAGCGAAUGGG